UCGCCUGUUUWUCAAAAACAUGUCUUAAAGAAAAUAAUUUUAAGUCUAAUCUGCUCCAUGAUAAUUAAUUAAAUAGCUGCAGAAUUUUAACUGUACAAAGGUAGCAUAAUCAAUAGUUUUUUAAUUGAAAGCUGGAAUGAAUGAUUUGAUAAGGUAAAUUUUGUCUCAAAUUUAUUAAUAAUAAAAAUUUUUUUUUAGUAAAAAAACUAAAUUGAUUUUAAAAGACGAGAAGACCCUAUAGAUUUUUAUAUUUAAAUUUAAAAAAUAUUUAAAUUAUAAAAUAAUAUUUUAAAUAUAAAUAUUAGAUUGGGGAAAUUAUUAAAUUAAUUAAAUUUUAAUAAAAUUUAAACUUAAAUUAAAGAAAAUUUGAUCUUAAAUAUUUAAAUAAAAAGAAUAAAUUACCUUAGGGAUAACAGCGUAAUUUUUUUGGAGAGAUCUUAUUGAUAAAAAAGUUUGCGACCUCGAUGUUGAAUUAAGAAAAAAUAUUAAUGUAGAAGUUAAUAAAUUUUGGUCUGUUCGACCAUUAAAAUCUUACGUGAUCUGA
rnacentral:rRNA from 1 species